UUGUUGGUAAGGUAAAAGCUUACCAAGGCUUCGAUCAGUAGCUGGUCUGAGAGGACGACCAGCCACACUGGGACUGAGACACGGCCCAGACUCCUACGGGAGGCAGCAGUGGGGAAUUUUGGACAAUGGGGGCAACCCUGAUCCAGCCAUGCCGCGUGAGUGAAGAAGGCCUUCGGGUUGUAAAGCUCUUUCAGCCGGAACGAAACGGUUACGGUUAAUACCCGUGACUACUGACGGUACCGGAAGAAGAAGCACCGGCUAACUACGUGCCAGCAGCCGCGGUAAUACGUAGGGUGCGAGCGUUAAUCGGAAUUACUGGGCGUAAAGCGUGCGCAGGUGGUUUUGUAAGUCAGAUGUGAAAGCCCCGGGCUCAACCUGGGAACUGCGUUUGAAACUACAAGACUAGAGUGUGGCAGAGGGGGGUGGAAUUCCGCGUGUAGCAGUGAAAUGCGUAGAGAUGUGGAGGAACACCGAUGGCGAAGGCAGCCCCCUGGGUCAACACUGACGCUCAGGCACGAAAGCAUGGGGAGCAAACAGGAUUAGAUACCCUGGUAGUCCAUGCCCUAAACGAUGUCAACUAAUUGUCGGGCCUUUACGGGCUUGGUAACGUAGCUAACGCGUGAAGUUGACCGCCUGGGGAGUACGAUCGCAAGAUUAAAACUCAAAUGAAUUGACGGGGACCCGCACAAGCGGUGGAUUAUGUGGAUUAAUUCGAUGCAACGCGAAAAACCUUACCUACCCUUGACAUGUAUCGAAGCCCGCAGAAAAGCGGGGGUGUCCGAAAGGGAACGAUAACACAGGUGCUGCAUGGCUGUCGUCAGCUCGUGUCGUGAGAUGUUGGGUUAAGUCCCGCAACGAGCGCAACCCUUGUCAUUAAUUGCCAUCAUUUAGUUGGGCACUUUAAUGAGACUGCCGG
rnacentral:rRNA from 1 species